GCCGGGUGUGGUGGCAGGCACCUGUAAUCCCAACUACUUGGGAGGCUGAGGCAGGAGGAUAGCUUGAACCCAGGAAGCAGAGGUUGCAGUGAGCUGAAAUCAUGCCACUGCACUCCAGCCUGGGUGACAGAGCAAGACUCUGUCUCCA
rnacentral:SRP_RNA from 1 species